CUGGAAAUUGCAGGAAUACUUUGAGAAGAACAAAGAUGAAGCCUGAAAUUCUAUUGCCAAGGCAAAGGAUGAACAAAGAUCAAAAGAGGUGCAUGAAAGCCACCUUUAAGCCUGUAACAAUUGAACAUCAAAGAAAAUAGAGGGAAAAGGGAACCCUAAUAAAUCAAUUCUAGAAAUUGAAGACCAAAACAGAUAGAUGACGAAGAAAAUAACCUUGAAAUUGCAUCAAUUAUCGGAGAAGACUAAGAAUGAAGAGCCAUGGAAGAAAAAUAGUCCAUCUCCUUCUUCACUUGAUGAGAGUAGGGUGG
rnacentral:lncRNA from 1 species